rnacentral:rRNA from 1 species
AUGUGGCUGGUGGUGCAUCGCCGGUGCCUGACAGCGGACAACUUGGAGCGCAGAGGCUGGCCCUCAAACGGCAACUGCCCGCUUUGUCUCGUGACACCGGAGGACUGCACACACCUGUUCGUGCACUGCAGGUUCACGCAGCAGGUUUGGCUCUUGUUCAGAGAUUGGACACGGGCGGAUUUUCAGGUGCCGGAGGAUCGUUUCAUCGAUACAGAAGACUGAUGGCUACAAGUACGUAAGGCUGUUCCCAAGCCUAUGCGUCGUAACUUUGACACAAUCUCCAUCUUGAUUCACUGGAGGAUUUGGAAGGAAAGGAAUUCCAGAAUUUUUGAGCAGCAAGCGAGCAGUCCCUUCAGAGUUUUCGAAAUCAUCAGAGAAGAUAUUGGGAUAUGGAUGGCGGCUGGCUGUAUUACAUACAUCUAA